UCCUGGGUAAUUGGCUCAGAAUUUUGUAGGUAAAAAGUGCUCUGUGAAAUGCAGAUAUUAUGGGAACAAUCCCAUUUACUUCAGUAUCUGCUAAGGGAAGUAUAUAUUUGCACAUUCAUGCCAUAGUAGGAAAUAAAUGCUGUGCUUGAAACAUUCACUGAGGGAAAUUGUGUGUUUAGCUAAUGUAUUUUUUAGACCAUAAAACUUUAAUCACUACCCAGCAAGUUUAGAGAUCCUUACAAAGUAAACCUGGAAGCCUGCAAUAAAAUGAUAGCUGGUUUAUAGAGCUGUGGUUUAGAGUCCUCUUAAACAAGUUCAGCCUCCUUAGUUUGCUUGCUUUAAGGCAUAUUCUUAUCUAAAUAACACCAAUAAAUACAGAAAUGAUUGAGAAUUUGGAGAACAAAAGUUGGAUUUUAAAAUGAGUCUUAAGAUACUUAAAUGGUGUGCAUUCAUGUUCUGAAUGACUUCAGCUUCAUCAUGGAGACACAUACUACCCUGAGAGCUUAAAUCACCAUGUUUUUUAGAUGACCUGUACUUAAAAAUUAAUAAACCCCCUAUUAUUAAUUAUUGAAUUAUAUGAAUUAUUGUUUAUGCUACAGACAAGCUUAGGCUUACAACUUCAGUCUUAAGUGGUAACUUAACCAAUUAUCUGUCUUCUGCUAUUAGUUUUUAUACAGCAACGAUUAUAUGUGGAAGGCUGAUUACUUCGAUUUAGUGUUGAUUUGUGAGCAGCUUGGACCAGCUGUAAUUGCUGUUGCAAAGUUAUGUGGUUGCCUGGGACCCUGGGGGUUGGAACUGGAAGAACCCAUGCCCAGUGCUGCUGUUUAGGCUGCCCUGCACACUGAGGUAGCAGUGUGGCCACUCUUCAUGCAGAGAUCAGUCUCUCCUUGCUUCUCCCUUUAUGAAUAUCCUUGUUUCAUUAGUGCAGCUUCAUAAACCAGUGAGGGUGCAUUGACAGGCCUGUGUGCCUACUUUAGCAACAUGAAUGAAUUUAAAACUCACUUCCACUCACUUCUCUGUUAGAGUUUGCCAUUAUAUCUGUGUUACAUGUAAAGUCUUGGACAUCCUGUUUUACUUCAUUCUGUGAACUCUUCAUCAUUUGUCUCCUGUAAAGAAUUUUUAGAAGACUGAAAAAUUCCCAGGCAUGUAGCUAUUUAAAAGUAUAAUGAAGAAUUCAAGAUAUUCUUUCAACUGUAAGGAGAUAAUUUUAAUUCAUGCUAUAAUAAAGGAAAAUAUUCAGAAGAAUAAAGUUGUGUAUAAGAUCACAAAGCUUUAUAAUAUCUUUAUCAUAAUAGUUCAUUUAUUGCAUGACAUUCUCAUGGGAGGAAGAUUAUGUUGGUUUUGUGCAUUUCUUAAUAUGCUCACCUCCUUAUAAACCAUAACUUGUUGUCAUUUGCAGCCUUUUCCAAACCUGGGAAAGUCUCUAAUAGUUUUGCAUAGCUUCUUGUUACCUUUUAAUCUUAAUAACUGACAAAGUUAAAACAUUUAUUUGCAUUUUAAUGUUGAAGUAUUCUCUGUAAUUGUUAGUGGAAUGUAUUAGAUGUAGCUCUAAAUGAAAAUUUUUAUUUUUAUUUUUUUUAGGAGGGGGAAACAGCAAAAUCAGCUGUUGGUCAGUUGUUUUCUGCUUCUGAGGGUACCUGAUCAAGUGCUUUUUUUUUAACAGUAAAGUUCCUGAGUGCCCAGAAGUGCCCCAAUCUGAGCAAUUUAUCUCCUGCUUAAGACCCAUAGUUCUUUUGUUUCAUCACUUUUUUUGUUUCAUCCCCUAGAAGGAACAAAUCUUGUAAAUGCUGAUGGCAAUCUGGAAAACACUAUGACAGUCCUCAUAGUGAGACUUUACACAAAAUACAGCUAUGACGGUUUCCUGGCAAAACAUCACAGGGGGAUGUGUGCUUUUUAUAUGUAUGGCAAGAACUCCCACUGGAGAAAAAACUGUAGGUGCAGCCUCAUCUUCAGUCUCUGUUCAAUUGACACUGCCCCUUUCAGAGCCACUGAACCAGUGCAAGGAUCCAAGCCAGGAUAAGGUUCAGGUACUACACCAAAAGGCUGUCAAGGUAACAAGAUGGGAGCAUUAAUUACUUUUUACCUUACUGUGCAUAUGAAGUAGCUCCCUCCUCCCUCACUGAGAGGCUCAGCUUCUGUGAAUUAUCUCAUUGUGCACAAGGUAAAUAAAUCUCUGGUAUGCACACAGGAAGGUGCUGCAGUGCUGCUGAUGUGCUGUAACUGGGAUUUCUGUGUCAUAUCCCUUCACUGGGGUAGAGUGAUGCAUAGACUGCAGCAGCCAUGGGGGCAGCUGUACGUCCCACGUGUUGGCAGUAGAAUUUUCCUAACUGCACUGUUUUUCUUCCACUCCUGUGGAAGCUGUAUUAAUAUCCAAAAAGAAGGGAAUUUGGAAUAAUAGAGAAGGUGAACCUGACUCAUGGUGGGAGCACUGUACUGGAAGUGAAGAUGAAGCUUUAGGUUUUUUUUUUUUUAAAGUUAGGGAUCCAGGAUUUCUGGUUCUGAAUGCUGUAUCAGCUCAGUGUCAUUGCUUCAGCCCUGGCAGCUGUGCUUUGCCACAGAGAAGAGCUGGCUUCUGCCUGGCAAGUUGCUGCCUGGCUGGACUUUGCACCAGGAAAACUGUUGGGCUCUGGAUGCAGGGCUGAUAGUGAUUGCUGCUUCACAGCAUUUGGGAAGGACCUCAAUUCCUAGUGCAUCUUCAUUUAAUGCUUCUUACAGCCAGAGCCUGUUGGGUGUUUAAAUUGUUUUAAAUCCAAGUCUGAAGUGCCCAGUUCCCUCUCAGCGCUGCAGUGAGUCUGUUCAGACAACACAGGAUUUGGAGCCCACUGCAAGGUGAACUGGGCUCAGUCUAGCUUAAUCUCAUAGCUGAGGUUUCUUUAAUCUAAUGCUUGGAAUUAAAAUGUAUUUUUCCUUCAUGCACAGUGUUUUCCACAUAAUUUUGUAUGAGCUUCUGCAUAAUUAACAUCCAGCAAUCUAAGAAGGGACGAACCAGGAUGCAUCUAGUCAUGUGCACCAUAGCACAUUCAUUCUUCAGAUUGUUUGCAUACCAAGAAUUCUGCAUUUCCUCUGGAAGGGAUUUCUUAAUCCUCAGUUUUAAGCUAUUUAAGAACUUCUUUCUGUUACAAACAAUGCUAGUUUCUAGGGCUAUAUAAAAGUCUCAUAAGUUCAUAAAUGUUGGAGUUGUGUAUGGCACUAGUGUGUUUAGUUAUCUUGUAGAUGUCUGGCCUUACACUGAUUUAAAUGAAAGUGUUGAGUCAUAGUGGAAAAUGAAAAUAUUACUCAUGUGAUGUCUGUUCACUCACUCCCAGGUCUGUAUCAUAUUCAGUGAUUUUGGAAAAAUGCAGAAUGUUUGCAAUCUACUCAUUGAAAAGUUAGGAACUUCUGUUACCAUCAAUCCACCUCAUUUCUACCAUACACCAGAAGCCAUAGACUCACUUCGGCCCAAUGACGAUCUGCUACCACCCUUUUUCCUUCACAAGUGACAAUGAAACUCCAAGAGGAGAAGAGACAAGUUCAGAACAUAAUGCUACCUCCAACAACCACGGUCCCUGGAAAGAGCUAAGGCAGCUUCUUUGUGUGUAUAUACAUGAAUCUUCCAACAAAGAAGUACCUAUGAAAACAAAUCCUGGGCCAGGGAAUAUGGGCCAUGAUAUUCGCUGCUGUCCAUAAUUCCUGCCCAAAGUAACCCACAAUCUAAACUCAAAAAAGUGAUGGAUGAAUACAGAUGGAGUUUAUGAAGCAAUCAGUAUCGAUCAAUGAACAGGCAGUGGCCUCUGCUCAGUGAUUUCAUGAAGAUCUGGAAGUCAGAGGAAGGCUAGGAAAAGUUGGGCUGAAAACCCGGCCGAUGUUUUGAGGGAUUUACAAGGACCAAGUUCAGUAAGCUGCAGCCUAAAGGUCAGAAGGCAUUUUGCUAAGUGCUUGUGACAUGAUAGGCAAAGGCAAUUAAACCUCAAAACCAGCAAAAGAUGCUUGCCAUUGCUCUUGAAAUUAAAAACAAUAAAAAUGAACACAAGGCUGGGACAGCAGAACUGUGUAAGGUACAUAAAAAGAAUCAAUGUCUGCUGAGAAAUUCUUGGAGGUUCAGCUGGUGAUAACAGUACUGAGGGGAGGAAAGAAAGCAAGGAUGCAGGUGUUUUAGAAGCCAAAGAUGAGGGACAGUUGGAUAAAAACUACAUCAGGGAAGGAACCAAAUGCACAAAAUGGGACAAUGUCAGUUCCCAGCUGAACAUGAAUUUUCUGCUAUAGGCAAAGAUUUUCGUGUUUUCCUCAUUUUCACUCCUCUGACUUAAAAAUUAGUGUCUUCCUGCCACUUAAGCAGCAUGUCAGUGGCAUGCAGAGUAUGCAGCACUGCAUUACCAGAUUAGCACUGUUAACAAAGGUUUAGCAUCAGAUUUUCAAAUACAAGGACUUAAGCAAAAGAAAUUUAAAGGCUUCAAGAAUUCUAACAAAAAUGUGUUUUUAAAUAGAUUUACACUCCCAGUAACCAGAUCCUCAAAAACAUUGCUUUUUCACUGAAACUGAUUAAACACAGAGGAUUACUUGCAUUUCUUAAGUGCAGUGAAGAUUCCACCAAUUAUGGAUAACCAGAUAAAGGACUUAACAGCUUCUCAAUUUUAGUGACAUGGCAGGAGAAAUCCAUUCAGACAUCAUAGGUUGACACUGUUAUUUCAAAUAAAACAAUGUGUAUAAAAAGUGAGUAGUUAUAAUUUGAGAUAUGUCCACUGCCCUGACCAGCAAAGCUUAGCCACUCAGUGGUGUAAAAGCCAAGCUCUACUGGGACCACAGUGCAGAAGCAGCAAAGGUACCACUCAGCUGCACAGGUGAUGCAGAACUCUGGAGUAUUUCCCACUAGGAUGGCAGGAAGUUGGUCUGCAACAGUGUUUCUGAGGGUAUUUUAACCUGAGUUAUUCUGUGUAUAUAUUAAUAAAGCAAGAGUUUAGUACAUUCAGACCUGUUUUGCUGGAGGAUAUCUGGGUUGUAGUUGUUCUUCUGGAGUGUUAACUUUUACAUCCCAUCCAACAAUGACUCCUGAGUAGCCAAAUCUUCUGUGAAUUAUUACCUGGCCCACACGGAAUUUAAUAUAUUCAGGCUUUGGACUGUGAACAUGAGCUGAUUCUAAUUUAACAAAGAAAGAGACUUAGCAAGGAUAAAAGUUUGGUCAGCUAUAUUAAGUAUUUUAACAGAAAUUAUUCUGACUUCUACAUGAAGAGAACUGAUAAUUAGAUUAAUAGGGGAAUUAAAGAAGAACAGGUGCUUUGUUUGUUUCCUCCCAGAAUAUUAAUUACUAUAAUUUACAGAGGAACAUCCACUAAGAAACUUUUCUAUUUGUAUGCAUUUGAUAUUACAUAGGGAUUUUAACAGAGUUUUAGAAAGCAUUAACAGGUGUGUGCAUUGACAGUUACUUAAGCCUUACAUACAGUAUUUUACGGUGCUGACUUGGGGUAACUUAUUGUGACAUUAUUUUUUGCCAGUUUAGGUCACAGAAUUCUUCUAUUCAGUCUGAUUAGGGACUUUUUUCCAGGAAUAAAGUGGUCAGCUAUUUCUUUUUUCUUCCUUCAAAAUACAUACACUGAGGUAUUCAGUAAAAUACAUACAUAUAGUUACAUCAUAUUGAUACUAUUACACGACACAGGGAAGAGGCCUUGGAUUUUAUGUUUACUGUUUUGUUUACUGAAUAUUAUCAAUCAUGUUUAGAGACAUGAAAAAAGGAAAACAGUAUGCCAUUUACAAAUUAAGUUUAAAAAUCCACUAUAGAAGCCUUGUAGACAACAUCAUAAAUAAAUUAUGAAAUUGCAAAAACUUCAAUACCUGCAAGAUAAGAACGGGGUUUUACUUCAUUGGCACCGCUUUUAGCUUUGUUCUCUCCAUAGUACCAAUUCCUAAAAUGUAAAAUUAAUAGCUCAACAUACAAACAAGUUCUUUAGAAGCUGAGUUUUAAUAAUAAUCAGAAGGUUAAUUAUCCUGAGUGGGAUACUGCAAAGCCUUUGAUACAAACUUCUUUACAAUUUGAAGCCUGCAUGAAUUUUACAUAAAAACACUUUUAAGGAAUACACAAGAAAAAGGAAUUUGUUCCAACAGGAAAAAAAGAGUAUGAAUCUCAUUUCUUUGAAUAUGUUACUCUACAGUUGCAUUAGAAUUUUUAUAUCAGAGGAAACUCACUAAUUUUAUAGAGGUGAGCAAACACUGCUCUGCAGUGUGAUUCUUCAGUAUCUUUUAUGAAGUUUUUUAAAAUUGGUUUAUACUGGUAUGGACAAGGUGUCUGGCAAUGAGUCCCUGCCUAAGGCUGCAGCAAGUGUAGCUUUUCCUUCUGCACUAGACUGAAUUUCAUCUGAAUGUAAAAGGUGGGCAGCAGGAGAUGGACAUGUUUAGAAAGGGGAAAUGGCUAACAUUUUUCAUUGCUAUAGUGAAAAAGAGAAAGUGUAAAAAAACAAUGAGAAUAUGGAACAUUUCCUUCUGCUGGCAAUGUAACAGCAGCAGUCUAUGAACAGAGGAGUUUGGGUAACAUUCUGCAUCCAUACCAGCCAGCAAACCAUUGGUGCCAAAGAACCACAGGUUGGCCUAGUCUCCUUCCUCUUUGAUGGUGCCUUUCAGUCUUACUCCCUUCACCCUGCUUGCAGGAAAAUGAGAGCAGGUUCCUGUGCAAACAAUGUUUUUUACAAAAGUUUUGGUUUAGCUCAAAUGUAUAGAAAGACUUAAGGCUGACAAGUACCUCUUAACAGAAAGAGGAGUGGGCAAAGUUAAAACAGCAGCUAAUAUAAGUCUCAAAUGACAUUAUUUUUAGAAUAGCAAAUUCUUUAUAAAAUAUUCAGAAGACACAGACAAUAUACUCUACACAAAAUAUAUACAAAUAAUCCAACUAUAUACAAAUAAUCAAUGUAUCAUUGCAUCUUUGCAGGCUUUAUUUUAGAUAUGCAUGGAGCUUUCCAUGAAGUUGAGAAGCAAUUUAUGGUGAACCUUAGAAGAGCACAGUUUUUGAUUCCAUUCACAGACCAUUCCCCUAGCUUUUGCUGGAAGCAAAACUAAGUCAGGAUCCUCCACAGUUCAGAGGACUUGACACCAUUGAUUAUUGUACAUGGAUCAAGAAUAAAGGACAUUUGAAGGUCCAUACAAAGUAAAACCUUUGGAGUAUUUCUACUCCAUGAAUUAAAUCUCACAAAUAGGGCUGUCAACAAACCAAAAGAAGUCCAUGAAGUCUUCUUAAAUUAAAAUGGUGUGUAUGUAUGAAUGGACAGAAUUUUACUUUUUCUAGACCAAUCACUGUUAUAUGACCAAUAAUCAAAAUUUCACUACUUAGCGCACAGAUUUUCUGUCUGUGAUUCCUAAUUCAGAUUUUGAACUUGAACUACAAUAUAGAGCAUAAGAUAUCCAUCCAAUGCUAAAGCAUCUGAUGUGGCUAAUUGUUCUGCCUUCAGAGUCAGAUAAAUUGGAGGAUAACAUGUACAGAAUUACUGCAUGAGUUACGUUUAGUUUCACAUGGAGUUCAGUUUUGAUGUUUGUGUAGAAAGUUCCAGAUGAGUCUCAGAAGCAAAUGAGAGAUAUUUCCCCUUUGUCCCUUACUUCCCCCAUAGCACACCUUCCUGCUCAGAGCAGACCAUGGCUGAAAUCUCCUUGGUGCAGACUGUAACACCCUACCUUGUCUUUGAGAGCCACAGCUUUAAACGAUCUGCCCACGCAUCCAGACUCAAGUAAGAUCUUGUUGAGAUGCUCCAAGAGGCAAUUAUCCUUUAGGAGUAAAAAUGGUCAUAAUAUUGUUUUUAAAACCUUCUCUAGUAUUCUUAUAUAGAUUUUUAAUAUUUAAGCUUUGAAGUUUCACUUCUGUAGCAAAGAGAAAGAAGGGGUCAGUGACCGUGAACAAUUUCUCCUCAAGAUUAAUAUCAACACUGAAAAUGAAUAUUCUUUCAGUCAUCACUUUUACCAGUAAACCAUAUGUAAAUUUUGGAAAAUACCAUUUUUCAUUACAAGAUUGUUUGCUUUCUUCCUGUACUUGGACCAUAGGAAUUGUUAAAUUACAUUCUGAUUGUGCAGCUUCAACUGUUACUCAAGAAUAGAGAGCAUGAGAUAUUUUUUAAUGGUGUACAUAAUCAAAAUACUAUUAAAAAAGCCUACAGGUUUUUGCAUAAAUCUAAAUAAUAAGUAGUUGACUCAUUCCAUGAGGCCUGAAAAUUAUUUCACUCUGGGUCUUUAUGCAUAAACCAAGCUUAGUUUUCUUUUCUUCAGACCAAUCUUUUGCUCUUCCUGCUUCAUGCACUGGAAUUCCACAGAUGCACCACACAGCCAGUGCACUGCACAGGCCACAUGUACAACUGAGUCUCUCUUUGCAUGGUUCAUUUCAAGAUACCAGUGUUUGCCAAUGGACACCACCAUCAAAAAUUUGGAUCUGAUGUAAUAAUCUCCACUUUUUCUUUGGAGAUAUGUGUGGGAUUCUGCCAAUACACUUCUUAAGUCAUAGACGAAAUGGCACUCCUUACUUAGCUCUUAUCAUUGUCCCUGCCGUAGGUAAUUUACUGUGAGUGAAUUUUGUUGGUUAAGAGUCUGUACUGAGUCAUACUAUGCAAGAAAAUAUUUUAUAACAGUAAAUGUCAAAAGGUGAUGGAAAAUCAGAAUUAAUGUUACUUAAUCAAUCACUUAAUUUUCAUCUUUUGAAAGGGACAUAACCCUUAGUAACGUACAUCGGAAUGUCACAAAAAAGAAUGAGGUUAAGGCACUCAUGCAGAUUAAUAAGAUUUAUAUGUGAAGAAAUCAACAAUUGCUGUUUGAAUUUUGAAACUAAAUACAGUCAUAUUAAGCCAUAAAAAUGCCUGAGGUGUGAUUUAAAUGUUGGUUUUGUAUAGGAAUAGCCAAUCCACCCACACUUCAGCUUCCAGGACAAAGUGUCAUUGGGGAUGAGGGAGAGAACUCUCUUACAAAUAAACCCAGUAGGGAAGGGCAGUCUUACAACCUUCCUGUCAUUUGGAUGCGCUCGGCAGAGUCCGUUCCGUACCACUGAGAUAUGAAAUACUGUGCAGGAAGAGCAAAGAGCAGCAUGGAAAUCUGCAGAGCUGCAGCUGCAUUGAUGUGAGGCAUCCCAACAGGAAGUUUUGGCAAAGACACUUCACUGCUCCCUGCUCUGAAAAGAGGAAGAGAAAAAUUUUAAAAAGAGAUAAAAUAAGUAGCUG